rnacentral:rRNA from 1 species
UACGUAGGUGGCAAGCGUUGUUCGGAAUUAUUGGGCGUAAAGGGCGCGUAGGCGGCCAUUCAAGUGACGGGUGAAAGCCCUCGGCUUAACCGAGGAACUGCCUGUCAGACUGGAUGGCUCGAGACCGGGAGAGGUGAGUGGAAUUCCCAGUGUAGCGGUGAAAUGCGUAGAUAUUGGGAGGAACACCAGUGGCGAAGGCGGCUCACUGGACCGGAACUGACGCUGAGGCGCGAAAGCGUGGGGAGCGAACAGG